rnacentral:tRNA from 1 species
UGGAGCAGUUGGUAGCUCGUCGGGCUCAUAACCCGAAGGUCGCAGGUUCAAGUCCUG